GGAGUCAGGAAACAGCCUGUCAUUUAUCAUGUGCCGGCGCGCUGGACCCUGGUAAUGCAACACAGCCACACGGCUCCAGAGCGUGAGUCAGCUGCUGGGGGGCCACGCGGGGAAGGGAGGCGCCCCUGUGACCCGCCCUUCUGCCAGGGCUCCAGCUGCCCGCUCGCUGAGGGGUUGGAGUCCGCCCGUUGCCCUCUGGAAGGCACCCAGCCUCCUGCCUUGUGGCCGCUGACCGUUCUGUGGCCUCUCCGGGGAGCUGAAGACUUGUCCCGGUUCCACCCCGCAGCCACCCGCCUCCUCCCCCAGCCUUUCGGCGGCAGAGCCCCAGGCCGCCUCCUCCACAAAGCCUGCCCUGCUUUCUCCUGUUGGAACGGAAUGCUCUCCGCCUGGCAAUAACGUGGCAUUUUGUUGAUGACUUUAUUCCAGCUCAUUUCUCGGCACAGUGGGUCAGGCAGGAACACGAGGGGUCCACAGCAGGAAUCCUGAACCCUAAGAGUGUUGACUCAGAUCCAUGCUCGGCCCCACAACUUGACCUUGACCUUGCACACGUGGUGUGUUCUCUCUGUGACUCAGUUUCUCUCCUUGUAAAAUGGGAGCAACAACCGUGCCUGAUAGAGUUUCAUGAGGAUGAAAAGCAUUAGCACACAAAGCACUUCGAACAGCUCUCUGCUCCGAAUGUUUGCUGCUGCGGCUGUUGAUGGAAGGCCUUCCUUUCUAGCCCACGUGACUUUGUUGGGUGAAGCCUAACAGCCGGGUUUUCUUUUGGCUCCAUAUAUGUGUUUUAAUUUUAUUAAAUGACAAAUGUCUCCUUUUUGCCCUCAGUUAUGAGAUGCAGGUGAAUUAAAUCCAUUUCCGGGAAUCCUUGGUAUCAUAAGUAAUUUCGCUGAUUGCUCUUUUCGGAAUGCAUGAUCUAUAGCCACAGUGCACGCGCUACGUUGAAAUGAACUGAAACGAGCUCCCAUUUACUGACUUGAGUUCAGCUGCAUCCACUGUGAGAGCAGAGAGACGCAAAC
rnacentral:lncRNA from 1 species